rnacentral:sRNA from 1 species
GAUAACGUUGCGUCAGCAACGGCCCGUAGGGCGAGCGAAGCGAGUCAUCCUGCACGACCCACCA